rnacentral:rRNA from 1 species
GUGUCAGCAGCCGCGGUAAUACGGAGGGUGCAAGCGUUAUCCGGAUUCACUGGGUUUAAAGGGUGCGUAGGAGGGCAGGUAAGUCAGUGGUGAAAUCUCCGAGCUUAACUUGGAAACUGCCGUUGAUACUAUCUGCCUUGAAUAUUGUGGAGGUGAGCGGAAUAUGUCAUGUAGCGGUGAAAUGCUUAGAUAUGACAUAGAACACCAAUUGCGAAGGCAGCUCGCUACACAUAUAUUGACUCUGAGGCACGAAAGCGUGGGGAUCAAACAGGAUUAGAUACCCGCGUAGUCC